rnacentral:rRNA from 1 species
UACGUAGGGUGCAAGCGUUAAUCGGAAUUACUGGGCGUAAAGCGUGCGCAGGCGGUGAUGUAAGACAGAUGUGAAAUCCCCGGGCUCAACCUGGGAACUGCAUUUGUGACUGCAUCGCUGGAGUACGGCAGAGGGGGAUGGAAUUCCGCGUGUAGCAGUGAAAUGCGUAGAUAUGCGGAGGAACACCGAUGGCGAAGGCAAUCCCCUGGGCCUGUACUGACGCUCAUGCACGAAAGCCUGGGGAGCAAACAGG